rnacentral:rRNA from 1 species
CGCGUAGGCGGCCCCUUAAGCGUGUGGUGAAAGCGCGGGGCUCAACCCCGCGUCGGCCAUGCGGACUGGGGGGCUGGAGCACGUCAGAGGCAGGCGGAAUUCCGGGUGUAGCGGUGGAAUGCGUAGAGAUCCGGAAGAACACCGGUGGCGAAGGCGGCCUGCUGGGACGUGGCUGACGCUGAGGCGCGACAGCGUGGGGAGCAAACA